rnacentral:misc_RNA from 1 species
GAUGAAGAACGUAGCGAAAUGCGAUACGUAAUGUGAAUUGCAGAAUUCAGUGAAUCAUCGAGUCUUUGAACGCACAUUGCGCCCCCUGGUAUUCCGGGGGGCAUGCCUGUCCGAGCGUCAUUGCUGCCCUCAAGCACGGCUUGUGUGUUGGGCCUCCGCCCCCCGGCUCCCGGGGGGCGGUCCCGAAAGGCAGCGGCGGCACCGCGUCCGGUCCUCGAGCGUAUGGGGCUUCGUCACCCGCUCCGUAGGCCCGGCCGGCGCCCGCCGGCGACCCCCCUCAAUCUUUCCAGGUUGACCUCGGAUCAGGUAGGGAUACCCGCUGAACUUAAGCAUAUCAAUAAGCGGAGGA